rfam:Stegodyphus mimosarum contig114928, whole genome shotgun sequence.
GCCUUCGUGGUGUAGUGGUCAGCACGCUAGACACGUAUUCCAAAGGACCGUGGUUCGAGUCUCGGCGAAGGCA